ensembl:piRNA 21ur-2764 ncRNA
UUGGAAGAGAACUCGAUAAAU